UCCUAUACAGAACCUCUCUCUCUCUCUCUCUCUCUCUCUCUCUCACUCUCCUCUCUUGUAUUAACAGUUGAGGGGAAUGUUGUCUGGCUCGAUAUCAUUCAGGUGAAGCUCAAAUGUUAACUGAAUGAUUUCGGACCAGGCUUCAUUCCCCCCAACAGCGGUAUUGAUUUGAUAUAUAUCUUUUCUAAUUCAUCAUAUCUUCAUCAGUUCUGUUAUUCUAAGGCAAUAGAUAUAAGAGGUGCAAGAAAGGAAGCACCACAAAUAAUCAAGCAAUUAUGAAAGUUCAGCCACCGGAGAAGUGCGGCCGGCUGCAGCAGCAAGUAUCGGUAUAUGGUUUCAUUUUUUUAAUUCAAUCUCUCCUUUCAAGUAUGGACACAAAUAGUUGUGUUAACGUGAACAUGUGACUGUAAGAUUAGGUCUCUCUUGUCCUUUUUACUAUUUCAGUUUUGCCUUUUUUCUUGAUCAAUCUUCUUAUAGCGUCUAUUUGUCCAUGGCCAUGACAAACUAUAGCUACCAAAUUGGUUCAGAUGUCUAAAAAUCUUGCGGGUCAAUAAUUCAAAAUAAUGAAGAAUAACAAUAAUAAAAUUAAAGCUACCAUAUAUGCGUGUGUGGAUCAUCAGUUUAGAUCAGAUUUUACAUGUGAAGCUCAUAAUUUCUGGUGGGUCAGAUAUCUGAUCAUGGAUGUUGUCAUUUGUGUUGAGGAACACUGUAGAUCCAUGGAAUUGCCUGAUCAUAUUGUAUGAUGAGCUUCAGUAAAGGCAAAAUAAUUGGUCAUCUCUAUAAAGUCUUAUAAAAAAAAAAAAAUAAGCAAAAGUGAUGAAGCAGAAGUUAUAUUUUGUGCAGACAUGAUAAGACGACAAUAUCUAUGUCUGCUGUGAAAUUACGUGUGCUAGUUGCUUGUGAUUCUGGUGUGGAAAGCAAGGUUGAAAAAUUACAACCAAAGUACUUCUUUAUGGGAUUUGACAGGACUACUUGUGGGAUAUAUGAAGAAUGAAGAGACCAAAGAGAAAAAAAGAAUAGUUGGGUGCCAAACCUAUAUGGGGUCUGCUCUGCUUAAGUGUUCCCCAUGGCCAGGGGUUAAUUGAUUAUUAGCUUUUCCAUGCAUAUAACUAACAAUGGAAUGGGGGGCUUCUUUCUUAGCUUCUAGCUAGGGUUAGCUAGCGUUACCAAUUCUUCUCUUUAUUAUUUUAGGGGAUUUAUUUCACCCACUGUUGAACUUUAAAUUUGUUUUAUUAAUAUAUCUUAACUUCAAUUUGUAUCA